AGCGAACGCUGGCGGCAGGCUUAACACAUGCAAGUCGAACGCCAUCUUCGGAUGGAGUGGCAGACGGGUGAGUAACGCGUGGGAACGUACCUUUCGGUUUGGAAUAUUCUCGGGAAACUGAGAGCAAUACCAAAUACGCCCUUAGGGGGAAAGAUUUAUUGCCGAAAGAUCGGCCCGCGUUAGAUUAGGUAGUUGGUAGGGUAAUGGCCUACCAAGCCUACGAUCUAUAGCUGGUCUGAGAGGAUGAUCAGCCACAUUGGGACUGAGACACGGCCCAAACUCCUACGGGAGGCAGCAGUGGGGAAUAUUGGACAAUGGGCGCAAGCCUGAUCCAGCCAUGCCGCGUGAAUGAUGAAGGCCUUAGGGUUGUAAAAUUCUUUCAACGGGGACGAUAAUGACGGUACCCGUAGAAGAAGCCCCGGCUAACUUCGUGCCAGCCGCCGCCGUAAUAC
rnacentral:rRNA from 1 species